UAAGUGCAAGAUACAUUCCAUUUCUGUUCUG
rnacentral:piRNA from 1 species